AUGAAUUUUCAUCACGUCCAAAUGGAACACAUAUAUCAUAAUUGCUGGAUUAUUCAAGCUAGGGUCAUGUGGAAGGCUCACAUCAAAGAGCAUGGCAUGGGAAACUUGUACCUUCAGUGCAUACUAUUCGAUCGGCAUGGAACAAAGAUGGAAGCGAUUGCAUAUAACAACCAGGCAAUCCGUUUCAACAGCGUGCUAGAAACCGGUAGGACAUAUGAUUUCAAUCGCGUCCGGUUCAACCCCAUCGAAAUGCCAGAUGGACAUUUUUGGUACCUAGCCAUGGACUUUGUCACCACACUAAGUUCUACGACAGAGGUUACGAUGUUGGCGCACCAGAUAACAUCGACAAUUUGCCCACCGUGCUUCCCACAGUUUGGAGAAAUCUUUGAGCUACGGGACAAAACCAUCACGGAUGUGGUUGCUAUCCUUGCCUAUGUUGGUCAGAUAGAAUUUAAGUGGGAUUCAAUAUAUAGGCGCCGCGUCCCUUCCCUCGAGAUUGGCCUCAUGAACUUUCAACGGCAGAUAAUUUUCUUACGUGUACGUGAAGAGCACGUUGGGCCUCAGUUCUUGCAUUUGCAAUGCACUGACAAUUUGUUCGAGAAGUUUGCUGUAACUUACAGAGAUAUCCAUGAAGCCAGCCUGACGACACUUGAUGAAACACGUGCGUACGUCAAUCGUGUUGUUCAAGGUAGGAACAAUGGACGUCGGAAGCAUGAUCCUGGGAUAACAACACGCGCAUCCACGCCUCCGCCGACGCAUGCUUGCCCCCAUCCGUCCGAGUCCUCUGGUCCAAGUUCUCCCUCUCUUAUCCCUCCUCCAUUUAUGCCGUAA
rnacentral:rRNA from 1 species